UGGUAGGACGCGGGCAUAGUGGCGACGGGUGAGUAACACGUGGGCAAUCUGCCCUGCACUCUGGGAUAAGCCCGGGAAACUGGGUCUAAUACCGGAUACGACACUCCGAGGCAUCUCGGGGUGUGGAAAGUUCCGGCGGUGCAGGAUGAGCCCGCGGCCUAUCAGCUUGUUGGUGGGGUAAUGGCCUACCAAGGCGACGACGGGUAGCCGGCCUGAGAGGGUGACCGGCCACACUGGGACUGAGACACGGCCCGGACUCCUACGGGAGGCAGCAGUGGGGAAUAUUGCACAAUGGGCGAAAGCCUGAUGCAGCGACGCCGCGUGAGGGAUGACGGCCUUCGGGUUGUAAACCUCUUUCAGCAGGGAAGAAGCGAAAGUGACGGUACCUGCAGAAGAAGCACCGGCUAACUACGUGCCAGCAGCCGCGGUAAUACGUAGGGUGCGAGCGUUGUCCGGAAUUAUUGGGCGUAAAGAGCUCGUAGGCGGUUUGUCGCGUCGAUUGUGAAAGCCCGGGGCUUAACCCUGGGUCUGCAGUCGAUACGGGCAGGCUAGAGUUCGGCAGGGGAGACUGGAAUUCCUGGUGUAGCGGUGAAAUGCGCAGAUAUCAGGAGGAACACCGGUGGCGAAGGCGGGUCUCUGGGCCGAUACUGACGCUGAGGAGCGAAAGCGUGGGGAGCGAACAGGAUUAGAUACCCUGGUAGUCCACGCCGUAAACGGUGGGCACUAGGUGUGGGCAACAUUCCACGUUGUCCGUGCCGCAGCUAACGCAUUAAGUGCCCCGCCUGGGGAGUACGGCCGCAAGGCUAAAACUCAAAGGGAAUUGACGGGGGCCCGCACAAGCGGGCGGGAGCAUGUGGCUUAAUUUCGACGCAACGCGAAGAAUCUUACCAAGGCUUGACAUACAUCGGAAACGGCCAGAGAUGGGUCGCCCCCUUGUGUCGGUGUACAGGUGGUGCAUGGCUGUCGUCAGCCUCGUGUCGUGAGAAUGUGGGUUAGUCCCGCCAACGAGCGCACGUGUCUGGUGUUGCAGCGAAACUCUUCGAAGUGUUGGGGGACUCACGGGAGACUGCGGGUUCACUCGGAGCAAGUUGAUACAGUCAGUCCAAUGCCUAAGGUCCUAGGGACGUUAC
rnacentral:rRNA from 1 species